rnacentral:ncRNA from 1 species
CUACGACAACGGCAAACUUAUCGAAAGGUAAGGACGCAAAGCUACGGGUCUAAGGCCGUUAAAAGCUAUGAUCGCCGGGUUACCGAA